UCUGGUUUCGACAGGGCUGCUGAAGCGUGAGUUGCGUGCCGAGGGUCUGGCUGGCCUCGUAAAAAAGCCGGAAAACAAUAAGUGCUAACGAAGAUUACGCACUCGCUGCUUAAUUUAUAGCAACGCUGGAACUGGAGCCCCUCCCACGGGAUUCAGACCUCCAGUCGCAAUGUGGGAUAGGAUGGCGUCAUGCUCUGGGGCGACUUCCAAAAUUUACAGAGCUGGCUGGAACCUGCGCCGACCUUCUUGGGCGUAGAGACCGGUGAGACCUUAAAUACGAAGGGAACGCACGUAGGAAUGAACGGGGACGUGGUUUUGGA
rnacentral:tmRNA from 1 species